rnacentral:lncRNA from 1 species
AUGAACUGUUUUUGUAAUGUUGCAGAGCCAAAUCCUCCUCAGAAUCUCACAGUGACAGCUGUCACAUCCAGUCAGAUUGCAUUGUGUUGGACUGCCCCCGAUUCUACCCAGAAUGCUCAGUUUGAGUACUUCAUCCUGCACUGGGUGGAUCUAGUCUCUGGCAGAGGCCUUGCCACACGCUUGGAAAAGAUGAAUCGGAGCGCUGUGAUUGGUGGGUUGAAGGCGUAUCGUGCUCACAGGAUCACAGUUGUGUCUGUCACAGCUCAAGGUGUGGAAAGCUCUGACAGUCUGUCCGUGACUGUUAUCACAGAGGUUAGUCCUCCACGCAGGGUCUCGGUUGAUGCCGUGGGUCUGGAGAACAUGACUGUGUGCUGGUGGCCUUCACUGGACGAGGAAGUUGAUAAAUAUUACAUCCAGCUCCACCCACAGACAAAUCAGGCUCAAACUAGAGAAUUCUGGGUAAAUGGCUCCACCUGCAUCUCUCUUACACAGCUCAAAUCAGGUGGGACAUAUGAAGUGGGAGUGGCUGCAGUGAAGGGCAGAAAUAUGAGCAUAGUGACAACCAUACAACAGACUCUAAGUAUGAUUCAUUUCUGUUUUAAUCUUCCAUUUCCUCCAUGAUGCUUCUUUUUUAGUCUACAAAAUGUAUUUUCGAUUCUUCUUUCAGAACCUGAUAGCAUCCAGAUUGCUGUGCCAUACACAGUUGACACACACUCUGUGGAGCUCUUUGUGCAGAUGCCCAGAAACAGCAUUUAUGACGGCAUCACCGUUACUUACCAGAAUAAUCGAUCCUGGACACCAGUGUCCACAGACAGCACCAAACUGUUAGUCGACAACCUGAGUCCAGGAACACAGUAUGACUUUAAUGUGUUUGUGACCAGCAGAGACACGAGCAGUGAAGGCUUUGCUCUGCCACCUGUGAGAACCUGUGAGAAAACAUUUCAGAAACUUUUACUUUUAUUGCUGAAAAAGUACAAUACUGGUCAAAAGUCUGAAAUAUUUUGGAAGGUUUUUGAAAAAUGUCUCUUAUUCUCACUAAGUCUGCAGGUAUUUGACCAAAAAUACAGUAAAAACAGCAAUAUAAUGAAAUAGUAUUACAAUUUAAAAGUAUUAUUUGGAAUUUUAAUAUAAUAUUAAUAUAUAAUCUAUAAUAUAAAUAUUAUUAUAAUUUAAAAUAGCUAUUUUCUAUUUUAAUAUAUUUUAAAAUGUAAUGUAUUCCUAUGAUGCAAAGCUGAAUUUUCAGCAUCAUUACAUCAUGAAAUAUUACAUCAAAAAAUAUUAAGCAACAAAUGUUUUCAACAUUGAUAAUAAUAAUUAGUGUUUAUUGAGCAGCAAAUCAGCAUGUUAGAAUGAUUUCUGAAGGAUCAUAUGACACUGAAGACUGGAGUAAUAAUGCUGAAAACUCAGCAUAAUUACUCCAG